CCUUGGAUGGGCAGCCCCUUCGUUAAAGCUCGUGAAUCAGUACUAGCCACCAGAGAUGAUCGAAAGCCGCCUUCGCGUCGUUAAGGAGCGCCAAGGCGUAGUUUUUACUAGAGAAAUCCACGUUUCUUCUCAAUUCAUAUAUUGCGUCCUCCGUAGAGCGCGCGACAUUGUCGUAGCCUGAUAGCACUACUGCGUCUAGAUCACGCUAUUGCGUGGGACGGAUUUUUCGGUUUGAUGGAUUGAACCGGUACCGAGUAAAAUAAGAUGACUUGGUCUCAAGUCGAUAAUAAUUAACAGUCAAAUACAUAAAAUCUGUAGAAGUCAACGAAUAAUAAAAUCUCUGAGUCAUAAUAAAUAGGUAUCAAGUCAUAAAUCCGACUUUUUCUACCAUCUACGCUUUUCCCAAAGUGUCCUUUUCCAGUCAUCAAA